AUACAGAGGGUGCGAGCGUUUAUCGGAAUUACUGGGCGUAAAGCGCGCGUAGGCGGCUACUUAAGUCAGAUGUGAAAUCCCCGGGCUCAACCUGGGAACUGCAUCUGAUACUGGGUAGCUCGAGUUUAGGAGAGGGAAGUAGAAUUUCAGGUGUAGCGGUGAAAUGCAUAGAGAUCUGAAGGAAUACCAGUGGCGAAGGCGGCUUCCUGGCCUAAAACUGACGCUGAGGUGCGAAAGCGUGGGUAGCAAACGGGAUUAGAAACCCUUGUAGUCC
rnacentral:rRNA from 1 species